rnacentral:rRNA from 1 species
AUGGCCAUCGAGAGGCUGAUCACCAAGCAUGGCGCGAGGAGCCUGGUGGUUCCGGGUGUGAUCCCAUCAAGAUGCUCACCGCCGAUUCUGACCAAGUUCGACGACGCCUCACCAGCAGCAUACGACUCCAAAACUGGUUGUCUAAAAGCUUACAACGAGCUGGGGAUGUACCACAACUCGCUGCUGCAGGCUGCCUUGUCCAAACUCCAGGCUAAGCACCGGAACGUCAGGAUCAUCUAUGCGGAUUACUUCGGCCCAGUCAUGGAUAUGGUGGAGUCGCCUCACAAGUUUGGUUUUCAAGAUGUACUUUCUGUGUGCUGUGGAGGACCUGGAAGGUACAUGUACAAUGCGUCGGUUCAAUGUGGCGAUGCAGCUGCAACAACAUGCGUUGAUCCGUCUGCUCGUCUGUACUGGGCUUGUGUUCAUCUGACCGAGGCGGCUAACAGAUACUCCCUCUGUAAACUAAUAUAA